AUAAAACAUACUUCAACAGAAACUUUCUUUAUUUCAAAUUCAUUUUGUAAUAUAUAGAAUUUGAAGUAAAUAUAAGAAAAACAUUUUUGGUUCAUUUUGAGGCAACAACUUUCCAGUGGAUUAGUGCACGAUUUAUUUACUUUGUUUUAGUUCAUUAACCAGGAAACCCUUGUUUUCCCCAUUUUUUGCCCCUGAUUCCUAAAUGGUUGGAGCUAUAACCCCCACAGUCAAUCCUAACCAUUCCUUUGUGGUAUGGAAGCUUGUGUUAUAAUUACAGAGAGAUUCAUACACUUAAACACAAGUCAUUGUCUGGAAACUACUAAAAUGCUUAUUUAGGUCCCUUUUUUUGGCCCUUAAUUCCAAAACUGUUGGGACCAUAACCCCCAAAAACAAUCUAAACUUUCCUUUCAAGGUUAUAAACCUUGUGUUUAAAUUUCAUAGAUUUCUAUUUUCUUGUACUAAAGUGCACUGUAUUUGUCGGGAAAACCAACUGUCUUCAGAUGACGCGGACGACAACGACAACAUGAUACCACAAUAUGAUCGCAAAUUUUGUUUGUAGUCUUAUAAAAAUAAUUGUAAUUUAUAUAAAAAAAAUAUUGUGUAGUCAUUGCUUUGUGACCAACUUUAAAAGAUGUCCAAACUUAAUACCACUUUUUGAAACCCACUAAGGACAAUAAUUAAUACGCCGUAAAACCAUCCGAAGACAUGUCUUACUCCUGAGCUAAUUCUGUAAAACUGGCACAAGAGACUCAAGGACAACAUGACACCAGUUAAUUGUGCAGAUGCAGCAUCAAAUCUUAUACUAGUAUGACUUUUGAGACAACCAUAUUACUGAAAUUUGUCUAAAUCUCUGUAGAUCUCUGUAGGUGUUGGAAUUAAUAGUGAACAUUUAAAAUAGAUAUUUUACAUGAGUUAGUAUUUAUGAAAUACACGAGUUUCAAUAGUGUUAUAUGUCAUUGUAUCUGAAGGAAUCUAUUUUACAUAAAAUUUAUUAUUU
rnacentral:lncRNA from 1 species